rnacentral:rRNA from 1 species
AUUGAACGCUGGCGGCAUGCUUUACACAUGCAAGUCGAACGGCAGCGCGGGCUUCGGCCUGGCGGCGAGUGGCGAACGGGUGAGUAAUGCAUCGGAACGUGCCCAGUAGUGGGGGAUAGCCCGGCGAAAGCCGGAUUAAUACCGCAUACGACCUGAGGGUGAAAGCGGGGGACCGAAAGGCCUCGCGCUCUUGUAGCGGCCGAUGUCGGAUUAGCUAGUUGGUGGGGUAAAGGCUUACCAAGGCGACGAUCCGUAGCUGGUCUGAGAGGACGACCAGCCACACUGGGACUGAGACACGGCCCAGACUCCUACGGGAGGCAGCAGUGGGGAAUUUUGGACAAUGGGGGCAACCCUGAUCCAGCCAUGCCGCGUGCGGGAAGAAGGCCUUCGGGUUGUAAACCGCUUUUGUUCGGGAAGAAAUCCUCUGGGCUAAUACCCCGGGGGGAUGACGGUACCGGAAGAAUAAGCACCGGCUAACUACGUG